CGAAAGAACUUUCUCUAAGGAAAUCAAAAAAAUAUCCUCAUAAAUUCAGGAUAAUGGGUGCCUCCUCAGAAGGUGACAGUGACCAGGCCUGAGUGACUAAAAACCUAAGUCUCCACAAAGUCGUAAGACCAUGUAUAGGGGUUGAUGCCUGCCCAAUUUCAAAAGCUUAAGGAAGUUGGUAACCUGAUGAUAGGGAUGUCAACAACCAAAGCCCUGGUGAAUGAUGACCAUAACUAUAAUGGUCGUAAGGUAGAGAAAUUCCUUGUCAGGUGAGUUCUAACCCGCACAUAAGGCGUAACGAU
rnacentral:ncRNA from 1 species